rnacentral:tRNA from 1 species
GCCCAGGUGGCUCAGUUGGUUAAGCAUCUGACUUUGGCUCAGGUCAUGAUCUCACGGUUUGUGAGUUUGAGCCUCAUGUCUGGGUC